rnacentral:misc_RNA from 1 species
CCUGGUCGAUGCUCAUCUUGGGUGAAUCAUCAAUGUCGUGCUGGAAAUUCAGCCACUGAACCUUAUAUAGUUGCCCAUCACCUGCUCCUUUCUCAUGCUGCAGCUGUGCAAAUAUAUAGAGAAAAAUACCAAACAACUCAAGAUGGCAAGAUAGGGAUAACACUUUUUACCUUUUGGUAUGAACCUCUAUCUAAUAAAUCAGCAGAUAUAGAAGCAGCCAAAACAGCC